rnacentral:rRNA from 1 species
GACGGAGGAUGCAAGUGUUAUCCGGAAUCACUGGGCGUAAAGCGUCUGUAGGUGGUUAAAUAAGUCAACUGUUAAAUCUUGAGGCUCAACCUCAAAAUCGCAGUCGAAACUAUUUGACUAGAGUAUAGUAGGGGUAAAGGGAAUUUCCAGUGGAGCGGUGAAAUGCGUAGAGAUUGGAAAGAACACCGAUGGCGAAGGCACUUUACUGGGCUAUUACUAACACUGAGAGGCGAAAGCUAGGGUAGCAAAUGCG